rnacentral:rRNA from 1 species
UCCGGUUGAUCCUGCCGGAGGCUACUGCUAUUGGAAUUCGAUUAAAGCAUGCGAGUCAAGAGGUCUUCGGAUACUCGGCGUAAUGCUCAGUAACACGUGGACAAUCUAACCUUAGGUGGGAGAUAAACUCGGGAAACUGAGGCUAAUACCCCAUAGGCCUGAUCUGCUGGAACGCUUUCAGGCUGAAACUUAUGGGCCUAAGGAUGAGUCUGCGGCCUAUCAGGUUGUAGUGGGUGUAAUGGACCCACUAGCCUUUGACGGGUACGGGCCUUGAGAGAGGAAGCCCGGAGAUGGACUCUGAGACACGAGUCCAGGCCCUACGGGGCGCAGCAGCUGCGAAAACUUCGCAAUGUGGGAAACCACGACGAGGGAAUUCCAAGUGCUAGCGCAAUGCGUUAGCUGUUCUCAUGCCUAAAAAGCUUGAGGAGUAAGGGCUGGGUAAGACCGGUGCCAGCCGCCGCGGUAAUACCGGCAGCUCGAGUGGUAGUCGUUAUUAUUGGGCUUAAAGCGUCCGUAGCCUGCUUUGUAAAUCCUUGGGUAAAUCGGCCAGCUCAACUGUCCGAAUACUGAUGAGACUGCAAAGCUUGGGACUGGGAGAAGUCAGAAGUACUCCUGGGGUAGGGGUGAAAUCCUGUAAUCCUAGGGGGACUACCAGUGGCGAAGGCGUCUGACUAACGGAUCCGACGGUCAGGGACGAAACCCUGGGGCACAAACGGGAUUAGAUACCCCGGUAGUCCAGGGCGUAAACGCUGCAGGCUUGGUGUUGGGAGUCCCACGAGGGCACUCAGUGCCGGAGAGAAAUUGUUAAGCCUGCCGCCUGGGGAGUACGGCCGCAAGGUUGAAACUUAAAGGAAUUGGCGGGGGAGCACAGCAACGGGUGGAGCGUGCGGUUUAAUUGGAUUCAACGCCGGAAAACUCACCGGAGGCGACGAUUAUAUGAAGGCCAGGCUAAUGACUUUGCUGGAUUUUUCGAGAGGUGGUGCAUGGCCGCCGUCAGUUCGUACCGUAAGGCGUUCUGUUAAGUCAGAUAACGAACGAGACCCCUACCAUCAUUUGCUACCAUGUUCUCAGGAACAUGCGCACUAUGAUGGGACCGCUGGCGCUAAGCUAGAGGAAGAAAGGGGCAACGGUAGGUCCGUAUGCCCCGAAUCCUCCGGGCAACACGCGCGCUACAAAGGAUGGGACAAUGGGCUUCAACACCGAAAGGUGAAGAUAAUCCCGAAACCCAUUCGUAGUUCGGAUUGAGGGCUGUAACCCGCCCUCAUGAAGCUGGAAUCCGUAGUAAUCGCGGGUCAACAUCCCGCGGUGAAUAUGCCCCUGCUCCUUGCACACACCGCCCGUCAAACCAUCUGAGUUGGGUUUGGAUGAGGACUGUUCAUUUUGGGGAGUUCGAAUCCAGGUUCAGCAAGGAGGGUUAAGUCGUAACAAGGUAUCCGUA